rnacentral:sRNA from 1 species
UAUCUCUCCGUACGGGGAAGGAUGAGAAGCUUCGACUAAGGUUCGAUUCGAGCGAAAGCGAGAAAGCGUUGCCAACGGCAACGACCCGAAGGGCGAAGCGUGCAGCGCUGAGUAAUCCUUCCCCCGUCAUCC